rnacentral:rRNA from 1 species
ACACUCCUGCGGGAGGCAGCAGUGGGGAAUAUUGCACAAUGGGCGCAAGCCUGAUGCAGCCAGGCCGCGUGUAUGAAGAAGGCCUUCGGGUUGUAAAGUACUUUCAGCGGGGAGGAAGGCGAUAAGGUUAAUAACCUUGUUGAUUGACGUUACCCGCAGAAGAAGCACCGGCUAACUCCGUGCCAGCAGCCGCGGUAAUACGGAGGGUGCAAGCGUUAAUCGGAAUUACUGGGCGUAAAGCGCACGCAGGCGGUCUGUCAAGUCGGAUGUGAAAUCCCCGGGCUCAACCUGGGAACUGCAUUCGAAACUGGCAGGCUAGAGUCUUGUAGAGGGGGGUAGAAUUCCAGGUGUAGCGGUGAAAUGCGUAGAGAUCUGGAGGAAUACCGGUGGCGAAGGCGGCCCCCUGGACAAAGACUGACGCUCAGGUGCGAAAGCGUGGGGAGCAAACAGUAUUAGAUACCCUUGUAGUCCCA